CAGCCGCCGCGGUAAUACCGGCGGCCCGAGUGGCGGUCACUAUUAUUGGGCUUAAAGCGUCCGUAGCCGGGUUGGGAAGUCCUCCGGGAAAUCUGGCCGCUUAACGGUCCGAAUGCCGGAGGAUACUCCCAGCCUAGGGAGCGGGAGAGGCCGAGGGGAUUCCCGGAGUAGGGGUGGAAUCCUAUAAUCCCGGGAGGACCACCUGUGGCGAAGGCGCUCGGCUGGAACGCGUCCGACGGUGAGGGACGAAGGCCAGGGGAGCAAACCGGAUUAGAUACCCGGGUAGUCCUGGCUGUAAACGAUGCGGACUUUGUGUCGGACAAGCUAUGAGCUUGUCCGGUGCCGGAGGGAAACCGUUAAGUCCGCCGCCUGGGGAGUACGGCCGCAAGGCUGAAACUUAAAGGAAUUGGCGGG
rnacentral:rRNA from 1 species